CAACCGUUCUACUCUAAAAACUUAAGCUGUCAGAGAAUAGUGUUUAUAUAUUUUUUAUAUUUAACGUACGUACCUCAAUGAGCUUAAAAUUCAUUGCAGGUGGAUUGGUUAUACUUUCUAGCAUUUGGUGUCGUUGCCAUUGGGCUGAUUAUCUAUUCAGUAAACGAGGCCGGGAUAGAAGGUGCAAAAGAUGAUGAAGGUGAAGAAGCAGCCGUCCAAUACGAUCAACUCACUGAAGAAAAUUCAACAACACCGCUAUUGUGAGCAGUGGAAAACUUAUAUCAACUCUAUCCAUACGGCAAUUCGAUGCUGAUGUUGAAGUUUCAUCAUAUGUGAUGUAACAAGUUCGUCCAAGAAGCUAAUUAAAAAUUGUUGAUGAAAAUUCAGAUAUGCGCAAAGUUUAUUAGAAACUAAAUCGAAAAAGUAUCUAUUCAUUGAUUGCUUAAUUACUCAUAUAAACAUUCAUCAUCAAGUAGAGGAGCGUUUCUAGCAAA